AGCAGCCGCCACGGUAAUACGUAGGGUGCGAGCGUUAAUCGGAAUUACUGGGCGUAAAGGGCGCGUAGGCGGCGAUAAUAGUCAGAAGUGAAAGCCCCGGGCUCAACCUGGGAAUUGCUUUUGAUACUGUAUUGCUUGAGUUCGGGAGAGGUGAGUGGAAUUCCCAGUGUAGAGGUGAAAUUCGUAGAUAUUGGGAAGAACACCGGUGGCGAAGGCGGCUCACUGGACCGAUACUGACGCUGAGGCGCGAAAGCGUGGGGAGCGAACAGGAUUAGAUACCCCUGUAGUCCCUGUCUCUUAUAC
rnacentral:rRNA from 1 species